rnacentral:pre_miRNA from 1 species
AACAUGACCCAAACACUGGCACUGACUUGACAUGUUCAGAUAGGGUAAGUGCUACUUGUUGGGGUAAUUUUA